rnacentral:rRNA from 1 species
GAUACCUGCCCUAAGGUGGAGAAUAACCCCGGGAAACUGGGGAUAAUACUCCAUAGACUAGAGAAACUGGAAUGUUCUUUAGUCGAAAGCUGAGGCGCCUUAGGAUGGAUCUGCGGUCGAUUAGGUUGUUGUUGGGGUAACGGCCCAACAAGCCUGUAAUCGAUACGGGUUGUGGGAGCAAGAGCCCGGAGAUGGAAUCUGAGACACGAUUCCAGGCCCUACGGGGCGCAGCAGGCGCGAAAACUUUACAAUGCAGGAAACUGUGAUAAGGGAACCCCGAGUGCCCGUAUACGCGGGCUGUCCAGGUGUUUAAAAAGCAUCUGAAGAAAGGGCCGGGCAAGACCGGUGCCAGCCGCCGCGGUAAUACCGGCGGCUCGAGUGGUGGCCACUAUUAUUGGGCUUAAAGCGUCCGUAGCUGGACUCUUAAGUCUCUUGGGAAAUCCGCCGGCUUAACCGACGGGCGUCUAAGAGAUACUGGGAGUCUAGGGACCGGGAGAGGUGAGAGGUACUCCGGGGGUAGGAGUGAAAUCCUGUAAUCCCCGGGGGACCACCGAUGGCGAAGGCAUCUCACCAGAACGGCUCCGACAGUGAGGGACGAAAGCUGGGGGAGCGAACCGGAUUAGAUACCCGGGUAGUCCCAGCCGUAAACUAUGCGCGUUAGGUGUACUGGUGACCACGAGUCACUGGGGUGCCGAAGGGAAACCGUGAAACGUGCCGCCUGGGAAGUACGGUCGCAAGGCUGAAACUAAAGGAAUUGGCGGGGGAGCACCACAACGGGUGGAGCCUGCGGUUUA